AUGAACGCUGGCGGCGUGCCUAAUACAUGCAAGUCGAACGCUUCACUUCGGUGAAGAGUGGCGAACGGGUGAGUAAUACAUAAGUAACCUGGCAUCUACAGGGGGAUAACUGAUGGAAACGUCAGCUAAGACCGCAUAGGUGUAGAGAUCGCAUGAACUCUAUAUGAAAAGUGCUACGGGACUGGUAGAUGAUGGACUUAUGGCGCAUUAGCUUGUUGGUAGGGUAACGGCCUACCAAGGCGACGAUGCGUAGCCGACCUGAGAGGGUGACCGGCCACACUGGGACUGAGACACGGCCCAGACUCCUACGGGAGGCAGCAGUAGGGAAUUUUCGGCAAUGGGGGAAACCCUGACCGAGCAACGCCGCGUGAAGGAAGAAGUAAUUCGUUAUGUAAACUUCUGUCAUAGAGGAAGAACGGUGGAUAUAGGGAAUGAUAUCCAAGUGACGGUACUCUAUAAGAAAGCCACGGCUAACUACGUGCCAGCAGCCGCGGUAAUACGUAGGUGGCGAGCGUUAUCCGGAAUUAUUGGGCGUAAAGAGGGAGCAGGCGGCACUAAGGGUCUGUGGUGAAAGAUCGAAGCUUAACUUCGGUAAGCCAUGGAAACCGUAGAGCUAGAGUGUGUGAGAGGAUCGUGGAAUUCCAUGUGUAGCGGUGAAAUGCGUAGAUAUAUGGAGGAACACCAGUGGCGAAGGCGACGAUCUGGCGCAUAACUGACGCUCAGUCCCGAAAGCGUGGGGAGCAAAUAGGAUUAGAUACCCUAGUAGUCCACGCCGUAAACGAUGAGUACUAAGUGUUGGGGGUCAAACCUCAGUGCUGCAGUUAACGCAAUAAGUACUCCGCCUGAGUAGUACGUUCGCAAGAAUGAAACUCAAAGGAAUUGACGGGGGCCCGCACAAGCGGUGGAGCAUGUGGUUUAAUUCGAAGCAACGCGAAGAACCUUACCAGGUCUUGACAUCGAUCUAAAGGCUCCAGAGAUGGAGAGAUAGCUAUAGAGAAGACAGGUGGUGCAUGGUUGUCGUCAGCUCGUGUCGUGAGAUGUUGGGUUAAGUCCCGCAACGAGCGCAACCCCUAUCCUAUGUUACCAGCGGGUAAUGCCGGGGACUCAUAGGAGACUGCCAAGGACAACUUGGAGGAAGGCGGGGAUGACGUCAAAUCAUCAUGCCCCUUAUGACCUGGGCUACACACGUGCUACAAUGGACAGAGCAGAGGGAAGCGAAGCCGCGAGGUGGAGCGAAACCCAUAAAACUGUUCUCAGUUCGGACUGCAGUCUGCAACUCGACUGCACGAAGAUGGAAUCGCUAGUAAUCGCGAAUCAGCAUGUCGCGGUGAAUACGUUCUCGGGCCUUGUACACACCGCCCGUCACACCAUGAGAGUCGGUAACACCCGAAGCCGGUGGCCUAACCGCAAGGAAGGAGCUGUCUAAGGUGGGACUGAUGAUUGGGGUG
rnacentral:rRNA from 1 species